rnacentral:snRNA from 1 species
GUGCUUGCUUUGGCAGUGCAUAUAUUAAAAUUGGAAUGAUACAGAGAAGAUAAAUAGGGCCCCUGUGCAAGAUUGACAUGUAUUUUUGUGGGGCAUUCCUUAUUUUG